AAACGGGCAGCGCUGUAGAAUCGGUGGGCGGGGCUAAACGGGCAGGCAGCAUGGCUGUGUAAUUGCUUAUUGACCUCUUUUAAGGACUUUGCAAAAGGGAAAUUUGUCUUCUGUCGAGGCCUUAGAGCUCAGUGAGGGUGUUUGUAAGACUAAAUGGUAUCAUGUGCUUCGUUUGUAAUAAUUUACAGGUUUAUAUUUAGACUCCCUCUCAGAUUUGACCUCAUUUAGACCACUGUUCGUAAUCUAGUUCUGCUCAUCUUUCUCAGUGUGAACAGAUGAGCCAGUGCUGGACAUGAGCAUCAAGUCAACUUCAUCUCAAAGAGGCUUAACAGAAAAUCAGAAUGUUAAUGUUUAUAAUACCUUAAUAUAUUCGUGCUUUAUAGGCGCAUUUAGCGGAUUAGAGCUGUGUGAUCAUAUAUUUCACAUUUUGCAACAAUGUAAACAAUCACGCAGUUGGGAUUAGCUGUAUAUUGUGGAGUGAUGCUUCACAGAAAUGACGGUUUGCUACAUACCUCAGACGACUUAACAUAAAAUUGCUUCUAUUAUCUUUUUUUUCAUUAAAUAAUAGUUUCCUGAACAAAUUGCACCUAAGACAGUUUUUACAUUAACUUCUAAAUUUAAUUAUAAAACCGUGUUUCUACUCCAGUUUCUGGUUGAAAUGUUUACUUCGAAUACAAGUGCUGUUGUGCACAGAGUGUCUGAGAGUGUGUGUGUGAGUGUGUGUGUGUAAAAGAGAGAGUGAGUGUGUGUGUGUUUGUUAGAGUGAGUGUGUGUGUGUGUGUGUGAGUGUCUGUGAGUGCAUGUGUCUGAGAGUGUGUGUGAGUGCAUGUCUUUGUGAGUGAGUGUGUGCGUGUGGUUGUGUGUGUGUGUAUCCGCUCUGUUAGGAGCCUCUACUGAUCUACAGUCCUCUUGACUGAUCUCAGGUCAGCCGUUCCUGAACCCAGAUGGCAGUGCUGUCGUCUACAGUCCCAGCAUGACCUCACAGGCCUCCAGAUGUCAAUCAUCCGUAGCUCCGCCUCCAGCCGCUCAGCCCACCAAUCACGUCAUGGCACAGCAGGACAAUCUGAGCGCUCAGUUCGGUCACAUGAUGCUGGUCCAGCAGGCCUCGGGGGACGGCCGUGACGCUCAUGCAGUCGUUUAUCCGCCGCUGCAUCAGACCGGAUACGUGAUGUCCUCGCCGGGACAGACUGUGGCCAGCCCCUCUUUUCCUGCGGUCAGCCAGCAGCAGCAGCAGCAGCAGCAGGUGUGAGACGCAUCACAUUCUUCACACACAUGGGGUCUGUCCCGAAACAUUUGCACUCCAACACUUGUCUGUUUACGUGACGUACUUGAUCUAAGUGUUCACGAGGGCAUGAAGAGCGCGAGUGUGUGUAGAACAUCUGAUUAUAACUGAUUAGACACAAUACAGACCGAUUCAAAGCAGCUUCACAGUAAUUAACAGAACAAUAACAGAGUUAAUGUUGCAAAUUUCAUGAAUUAUGAAACAAACUCGAUAUUAGCGGUAAAGCUGCUCUGAAUUCAAAUCUAAUUGUGGUGCUUCUAAUUAGCUGUUACACAGCAGUUGCAUACAUUU
ensembl:lncRNA